GAUGAACGCUGGCGGCGUGCCUAAUACAUGCAAGUCGAGCGAACAGACGAGGAGCUUGCUCCUCUGACGUUAGCGGCGGACGGGUGAGUAACACGUGGAUAACCUACCUAUAAGACUGGGAUAACUUCGGGAAACCGGAGCUAAUACCGGAUAAUAUAUUGAACCGCAUGGUUCAAUAGUGAAAGACGGUUUUGCUGUCACUUAUAGAUGGAUCCGCGCCGCAUUAGCUAGUUGGUAAGGUAACGGCUUACCAAGGCAACGAUGCGUAGCCGACCUGAGAGGCUGAUCGGCCACACUGGAACUGAGACACGGUCCAGACUCCUACGGGAGGCAGCAGUAGGGAAUCUUCCGCAAUGGGCGAAAGCUUGACGGAGCAACGCCGCGUGAGUGAUGAAGGUCUUCGGAUCGUAAAACUCUGUUAUUAGGGAAGAACAAAUGUGUAAGUAACUAUGCACGUCUUGACGGUACCUAAUCAGAAAGCCACGGCUAACUACGUG
rnacentral:rRNA from 1 species